rnacentral:rRNA from 1 species
UACGUAGGUGGCAAGCGUUGUCCGGAUUUAUUGGGCGUAAAGCGAGCGCAGGCGGUUUCUUAAGUCUGAUGUGAAAGCCCUCGGCUCAACCGAGGAAGGUCAUUGGAAACUGGGGAACUUGAGUGCAGAAGAGGAGAGUGGAAUUCCAUAUGUAGCGGUGAAAUGCGUAGAUAUAUGGAGGAACACCAGUGGCGAAGGCGACUCUCUGGUCUGGAACUGACGCUGAAGCUCGAAAGCGUGGGGAGCAAACAGG